rnacentral:rRNA from 1 species
GAAGGCAGCAGUAGGGAAUCUUCCACAAUGGACGAAAGUCUGAUGGAGCAACGCCGCGUGAGUGAAGAAGGAUUUCGGUUCGUAAAACUCUGUUGUAAGGGAAGAACAAGUGCAGUAGUAACUGGCUGCACCUUGACGGUACCUUAUUAGAAAGCCACGGCUAACUACGUGCCAGCAGCCGCGGUAAUACGUAGGUGGCAAGCGUUGUCCGGAAUUAUUGGGCGUAAAGCGCGCGCAGGUGGUUUCUUAAGGCUGAUGUGAAAGCCCACGGCUCAACCGUGGAGGGCAUUGGAAACUGGGAGACUUGAGUGCAGAAGAGGAUAGUGGAAUUCCAAGUGUAGCGGUGAAAUGCGUAGAGAUUUGGAGGAACACCAGUGGCGAAGGCGACUGUCUGGUCUGUAACUGACACUGAGGCGCGAAAGCGUGGGGAGCAAACAGGAUUAGAUACCCUGGUA